UACGUAGGGGGUAAGCGUUGUCCGGAAUCAUUGGGCGUAAAGCGCGUGUAGGCGGCCUUGUAAGUCCGUUCUGAAAGCCCGGGGCUCAACCCCGGGAGGCGGAUGGAUACUGCAAGGCUCGAGUCCGGAAGAGGCGAGUGGAAUUCCCGGUGUAGCGGUGAAAUGCGCAGAUAUCGGGAGGAACACCAAUGGCGAAGGCAGCUCGCUGGGACGGUACUGACGCUGAGACGCGAAAGCGUGGGGAGCAAACAGG
rnacentral:rRNA from 1 species